GAUGAACGCUGGCGGCGUGCCUAAUACAUGCAAGUAGAACGCUGAAGGAGGAGCUUGCUCUUCUGGAUGAGUUGCGAACGGGUGAGUAACGCGUAGGUAACCUGCCUGGUAGCGGGGGAUAACUAUUGGAAACGAUAGCUAAUACCGCAUGACAACAGUUAUUGCAUGAUAACUGUUUAAAAGGGGCAACUGCUCCACUACCAGAUGGACCUGCGUUGUAUUAGCUAGUUGGUGAGGUAACGGCUCACCAAGGCGACGAUACAUAGCCGACCUGAGAGGGGGCUCGGCCACACUGGGACUGAGACACGGCCCAGACUCCUACGGGAGGCAGCCGUAGGGAAUCUUCGGCAAUGGACGGAAGUCUGACCGAGCAACGCCGCGUGAGUGAAGAAGGUUUUCGGGUCGUAAAGCUCUGUUGUAAGAGAAGAACGAGUGUGAGAGUGGAAAGUUCACACUGUGACGGUAUCUUACCAGAAAGGGACGGCUAACUACGUG
rnacentral:rRNA from 1 species